GAUGAACGCUAGCGGCAGGCCUAAUACAUGCAAGUCGAACGGUGUCUUCGGACAUAGUGGCGCACGGGUGCGUAACACGUAUGCAACCUACCUUACAUUGGGGGAUAGCCUUUCGAAAGGGAGAUUAAUACCGCAUAAGACAGUAGCUGGGCAUCCAGCAGCUGUUAAAGAUUUAUCGAUGUAAGCUGGGCAUGCGUCCAAUUAGCUAGUUGGUGAGGUAACGGCUCACCAAGGCAAUGAUUGGUAGGGGAACUGAGAGGUUAAUCCCCCACACUGGCACUGAGGUACGGGCCAGACUCCUACGGGAGGCAGCAGUAGGGAAUAUUGGGCAAUGGACGCAAGUCUGACCUAGCCAUGCCGCGUGCAGGAUGAAGGCGUUAUGCGUUGUAAACUGCUUUUAUACAGGAAGAAACGACUCUUGCGAGAGGCAUUGACGGUACUGUAUGAAUAAGCACCGGCUAACUCCGUGCCAGCCGCCGCGGUAAAAC
rnacentral:rRNA from 1 species